CAGUCGCCACGGGAAUACGGAGGGGGCUAGCGUUACUCGGAAUUACUGGGCGUAAAGGGCGCGUAGGCGGACAUUUAAGUCAGGGGUGAAAUCCCGGGGCUCAACCCAGGAACUGCCUUUGAUACUGGGUGUCUUGAGUGUGGAAGAGGUCAGUGGAAUUGCGGGUGUAGAGGUGAAAUUCGUAGAUAUUCGCAGGAACACCAGUGGCGAAGGCGGCUGACUGGUCCACAACUGACGCUGAGGUGCGAAAGCGUGGGGAGCAAACAGGAUUAGAUACCCCGGUAGUCCCUGUCUCUUAUAC
rnacentral:rRNA from 1 species